rnacentral:lncRNA from 13 species
AAGGUGAAGAAUUCAGUUCUUAAAUACACAGUGCUUGUUAACCUAUCUAGAAAAGGAAACGGUCAACUGGAGACUUUGGUUUGUUGCAGAAGCUGUUGGUUUUGAUCUGUUCCUCCUUGGCACCAGGGGAGGUUAGGAAGAGCGAAUCUAAACAAGAUUGGCAAAGUUUUGGAUUUGAUGACCAGUUUCUUUUGAUUGGAAAUUACUAUGUUAACUCUGACCUGGAAGACAGUGAAUUUAGAAUGCCCUGUUGAUCUGAACGUCUUGAUCACUGCCUUUGGUGGGCUUUUUAUUAAGCUUGAUGUAGACUUGACUCCUGGAAGCUGGAGAUGCUGA